GGCAUCCUUACUUCAGUCACACAAUCCUUCAGAAAUCCUUUUAACAAUCUUAUUUUCUACCAAAUAAACCCCAUUUAUUAUCAUCAUCAUUAUUAUUAUUAUUAUUAAUGUUGAAAAGAGCUGAUAAUAUUUUUCAGGUUUUUUUAGGGGGAAUAAAUCGAAAGAACUGCAUUGUUUUUACAUUUGUUAGAGUUAUCUCUAUUUGUCACAUUUAUAUUAUUUACAUCAAGCUUUUGAAUGGUAUAGUAUUGUAUAUUGUUAUUGAAACUCCAUAAUGUUUCACUUGAUUAUACAUUUAGUCAGGAAUUAUAGUUUGGAAAAAGUAUUUGGAAAAAGUCUAACUAGUAAAAUGUUUACACGUUAUGUGAAAACUAGUACAAAUAAAUAAAAAGAGACUUACUCAUGUUUAUGAUCUCUGCUGAAUAAAGUGCUUCAUUCUUUUUUCUGAGGAAAUCCAUUUCCCAAAUCCUCAACCACAUCACAUCUUUUUGGGGUGAAUUAUGUCUUAGUCCUCUCAUCGCGAAGCAAACAGUAAAAUAAAAUAAAAACUUGAAGAAUAGUCUGGCUGCUUUUUCUUCUGUGUGGGCGUAUGCAAGCCGCGCGCUUCUGUUUGAAUCUGAAUAGCGUGUUCAGCGCGGGGGCGUGGUCACAUUAAAUAUAAUGAGCGGAGAUAUGAAAAAUAGACAUCGCGUUGUUUUCAUAUGGAUUACUUUAUCUCAGAAUAUUUGUUUUCGGCAGCACUUGUUUAGUUUAAAAGUAGACAUUCCGGGCUUUCUAUAGAUAUCUCUCUCAUGUCUCUUCGUUGAGUAUUCACGGAGUUACAGUUCAUUUUAAUGAAAUGUUUGUACAUGACGAUCAGCGGAGACAAAGACUGUAGACAGCGCACCUUGUUUGUUAUCUUUAUUUUAUAAGUGCACAAAGGUUUUUUGUUAUUAUGUCUGUAUCCAAAAAAAACUAGACCCUUUACAGAUUCGAUUGAUGUAUUGCUCUUAUCUGUACGAUUAAAACUGAGAGUGUAAUUUAAGUUCUUUUCGGGGUUAUCAGGUGAAAAUGACUCAAAACGCAUAUAUGCGUUAAUCGACUCGAAAGGGUUAAGGUUCAAGACACACUAGCUGCACCUGACAUCCUAGCUCAAUAGUAGUUGUAACACAUGCUAGGAAUACCCACAGCAGCCUUGUUUUGUUUUGUUCUUCUUUUACCUAUCCUUCUCCUUCCCCUCUUUCCUGAGUAGGUGAAACGCCUAGACACCCUGCGGGGGUCGAAGGUCUGAUAUUAGGAUUGACUCGCAACACCUAAUAUCCGCCAGCCACUCUAAACUGAAUGGAAGCCAGAGAGCUCCAUGCAUGAUAGGUCAAUUCAUUGAAUUGAAAAUGAAAUUACUAGAAAACUAAUGGUAAACAUGUAAAGUAAGACAACCUAGAAGAACCAAACAAAGUUAACCACAAAUUUGAUUGAUGAAUCAAAAUAAAAACAAUUUCCAAUACGAUCUAAACUAUCCUCAAUGUGCUAAACUACAUUGACUAAUGGAACUUAACCACGUGUACCUAAAUAACCUGAUGCCUGCACCAGUACAGUAACUGUCAUGGAGGUGUUGUCUUGCUGUUUGCUGUGUUUGUCUGCUUCUUCUGCCUUUGUUUCUCCAGCGAUCGACGAUGUCUUCACCUAAACACCUCGCCGAUCGAAAGGGGGAUAUAUGUAGCAGAAAUGAGUCAAAUCAGACAAAUCAAAGAGUCUAUCAGAGCUGUGUGCAUUGAAACAUGAGCUGAAUUCCUCAGGAAGUCAUAAAUCAGUUCUAGUACCACAAGAACCAAGCAAUAUAACCAACCAACCAACUUGUUCACACAACAGCUUUCAACAUUAACACCAAUAGAACAAUUAUUAACAAUUUUAAUUCGAAGAAGAGAUUGUCAAAUUUAUUGUUCGUGAUUGAAAUGCAACGCUGGACAUCACAUGUAAACCCAGGAGAUCAAGUUAAAUACUUGCAUUGACUUCCCCCCACCCAGAAGAACCAGACUGAAAUUCCUAAGGGGGAAGGGCUUUAAACCUUUGUCUUCACAGAAAAGUCCUUUGCCAGAGAAUGGCAAAGAAACCCUUUUUAUACAUUAUAUAUGGACCAGAAUGAACUCAAAAAAGACUUAUGAAUGAAUCAUUCCAUUGCUUAACUCCAUAUUCAUUUACGUGUAACCCACACAUUUGACUAUCAUGUAUAAUCACUUAUUGUGUAUGUCUUUUGAUAAUUAUAGGAUACAUAGUCAUGUCUAGUAUUGAAAUAAUCGCAUUUUCUUGCUUGAUAUUGUCCUGACAAUCAUUUAUUUGUAAAAUAUAUCAUAAUCAUGUUAUAGGAAUCAUGUCCAAAAUUAGACCCUGUGAGGCAAGAACCACAUGCUUGGUAAGAUAAACAAAUGAUUUAUGAUACCCACCCCAAGAACAUAUCUGAUUGGUCAAGGCAACAUUUGAGGGGUGGCCAACAAGAAAGUUUAAAUACUUUGGAUACGAUUAAAUUUUUGCUUUUAGUUCUAGUCUAGCUGCUGCUAUUAGCCAUGUCGGCUAUUAGUCUAGCAUUGCUUGUGCUAUCAGUCAUGCGGGCUUUUAGUCUGCUUUUAGUUCCAGCCUUGCUCGUGCUAUCAGUCAUGCCUGCUCUUAGCUUUUAGCUUGUAGCUUUGCUACCUAGCUUUAGCUAUAAGCAUCUAGCCAUGCGGUUAGUCGUCAUUGUUCUUUGAGCGCGGUUCCAGCGUGCCUGCCUACUGCUUCUAUGCCACAAUGAGAAGGAACACAACCUAGUCUCGUCAAACUUUAUUUCUUUUCUUUUCCGUUUGAGUUUCGUGUUCUGAGUUAAGUUUUGUAACGUCGAGUCUCCGACGCCUGACCUCGGAUGCCCGUUCAACUUCAACCAGCGCACACGACUCUGCACUUUCAGUCAACGCCCAACAACCACGGGCUUCCCAAGACGUCACUUCACUACUGAACUUCCAGCCAAUCAGCGACACCGGGAUACCCCUUUCAACGGGAGUUCCUUUCACAGGAAACUAAGGCAACGUAUCCCCAGAUAUUUGUUGUGCUGGUGUAUCUAGUAUAAUUUUAGUCACAUUGAGGAACUCAAUGCAAGGGCUAAUUACGUGAUUGAUGGUUGUUCAUGUCUAUGCAAUUUAACGUAUUGCUGUAAACUUGGGAUUCCAUAUUUCCAUUCUCUUAAACUCAUCUUUCCUUAACUUUCGACCUUCCUACAACUUGUGUGAAUGUGUGUGUGCGUGCGUUUAUGUGUUAGAUUAGUUUAUAUGUCUUAGAUUUAUCUAAUAAAGCCUUAUUCAUAUUGAAAAGAGAA